UGAUGCGGCGACGCCGCGUGAGGGAUGGAGGCCUUCGGGUUGUAAACCUCUUUCGCUCAUGGUCAAGCCGCAACAUUGGUUAUGGUGAGGGUAGUGGGUAAAGAAGCGCCGGCUAACUACGUGCCAGCAGCCGCGGUAAUACGUAGGGCGCGAGCGUUGUCCGGAAUUAUUGGGCGUAAAGGGCUUGUAGGCGGUUGGUCGCGUCUGCCGUGAAAUCCUCUGGCUUAACUGGGGGCGUGCGGUGGGUACGGGCUGACUUGAGUGCGGUAGGGGAGACUGGAACUCCUGGUGUAGCGGUGGAAUGCGCAGAUAUCAGGAAGAACACCGGUGGCGAAGGCGGGUCUCUGGGCCGUUACUGACGCUGAGGAGCGAAAGCGUGGGGAGCGAACAGGAUUAGAUACCCUGGUAGUCCACGCUGUAAACGUUGGGCACUAGGUGUGGGGGCCACCCGUGGUUUCUGCGCCGUAGCUAACGCUUAAGUGCCCCGCCUGGGGAGUACGGCCGCAAGGCUAAAACUCAAAGGAAUUGACGGGGGCCCGCACAAGCG
rnacentral:rRNA from 1 species